UUUUUUGUGUCAGGUGGGGAAAUGCAUUAUGCACACUCCGGAUGGAAAAGUCCGGAGUAGUGUGGGACUCUCACCCACUAAAACCCCACCUGAGGCUUCGGCUUCUAGGGCCAUUCGCCUUUAUACAUACUUUUACACAGAAAAAGAUGACUAUAUAAGUACAAUGGGACAGAAACGGAUCUAGUUACAUUUAUUAACAUACAAAACCAACAAUUUAAAAAUAUCAUAGAUCAUUUGCUAUACCAAUUCUUUGGAUGAAGGCAAGAGUAUUUUUACAUUGCUCUUUGUUUUUAAAGUUAUUUUCCCAUGCAGGGUCGAUAUUAAAGAGCACACGUACAUCUGUGUACUGCGGACAGACAGAAAUAAUAUGAUGUGGUGUUAAAAUAACACCACAUUGUUCGCAUAGUGGCCGUUCUUCGCCGCCAACAAAUAUCCAUGAGUGAGGGCAGUAUGCCCCAGCCGGAGUCUGUACAGCCUGAUCAAGUUCAAACGCCCAACGUCGAUAUAAAAUAGCGGAUCCAGACUCUGUUUGAUCUUCUUCAAAGCCGUAUCAGUCUCCGACCACUGUUCACUCCACCGCUCAUAAAUUUUCGUCUUCACAAGUUCACGUCGUGCAAUAGAUGACAUAUUCGUAAAGUCAACGUUAUCCAGUUGGAGAUAGUUUAAUACCUCUCUAGCUCUAACACCUAACGAUCUACAUCUAUUUAGCCGAGCAAUUGUAGUUGCAUCAGUAAGUGAUAUAAAAUUUGGAUGUUUAUCAUCUAUCCUUACUUUUAUAUAAUAGUUUGCAACAAUCUGUUUCCGGCGUAGAGCUAGAGGGGGAAUAUUUGCCUCGACGUGGAGCGAUGUUACCGGACUUGUUGGAUAUGCUCCCAAAGAGUAGCGAAUGGCCAGGUUCUGAAUCUUGUCAAGUUUCUCAAUCAAAGUAUUACUGCCACAUGUAGAGUACGCUGCACAUCCAUAAUCCAUCCUUGACAGGAUGAGGGCCUUAUAAAUAUCUAGGAGGGUCUUAGGGUGAGCUCCCCACCUAUGAUGAGCUAGAACUCUCAUAAUGUUCAGCGAUUUUCUACAUGUAGCCGCAACAUUCUCCAAAUGCUUUGACCAUCGUAAUCCCCUAUCAAAGGUAAGUCCGAGGAACUUGACUUCUUGGACAACACUGAUUAUACGAUUGUUCAUAAACAAAACGGGGUCAUAGUGGGGCUUACGGAGUCGACAAAAGUGAACAACCUUUGUCUUCUCCUCCGACAGCACGUACCCGACAGCAUUGGCGUUAUGACAAAUGAUGUUAAUUGCCGUUUGUAGGUUUCGAGUUAUUGUGCCAACCGUCUUACCAGAACAACAAACCAUUAAAUCGUCUACGUAUAAGCAUUUAUCAAUUGACUCCUCAACACCUUUGGCUAUUUCAUUUAUGGCGAUGCCGAACAGGGAACAACUGAGUGUUGACCCCUGCGGCACACCAUUUUCUAAAACAUACUCUUUGGAGUUGAUAUCGCCGAUUCUUACACAGAACUUCCUAUCCUCUAAAAAGGAUUUUAUAAAUUUAGGUAAAUUCCCUCGAAGAUUGUAUUUAUACAUAUUUUGCAAUAUUCCAUAUCUCCAAGUCAUGUCAUAAGCACCUUUUAUAUCGAAGAAGACCGCAACCAGAUGUUCACCACUGUCAAAUGCCCUCAGAAUUCUGUCUGUCAGUUUGACCAGAUGGUCUACCGUUGACCGUCCUUUCCGAAAACCAGUUUGGUAAGGCACGUAUACGUUAUUGCUUUCGAGAAAUGUUUGUAGCCGCACAUUAACCAUUUUUUCUAGCAGUUUUCCCAAGCAAGAUGUCAAACUAAUUGGGCGAUAACUUUGUGCCUGCAACGGAUCUUUUCCUGGUUUCGGUAUAGGAAUUACGAUGGCUUGCUUCCAUUCUGAGGGAACUACAGUGGCGAAGCAUCUGGUUAUGGAUAGCGUCUUCUCCCGGUGAACAUGACUUGGUGUUACGGAUUGCUGCCUCCAAUUCUUCUACAGUAAAAGGUUUGGUAUCUAGAAAGGUGUUGGAAUAGUUUGACGAGCUACUGACUUUAUAGAACC